AAUCCAUAGGUUAAUGAGGCGAACCGGGGGAACUGAAACAUCUAAGUACCCCGAGGAAAAGAAAUCAACCGAGAUUCCCCCAGUAGCGGCGAGCGAACGGGGAGGAGCCCAGAGCCUGAAUCAGCAUGUGUGUUAGUGGAAGCGUCUGGAAAGGCGCGCGAUACAGGGUGACAGCCCCGUACACAAAAGCGCAUGUGCUGUGAGCUCGAUGAGUAGGGCGGGACACGUGGUAUCCUGUCUGAAUAUGGGGGGACCAUCCUCCAAGGCUAAAUACUCCUGACUGACCGAUAGUGAACCAGUACCGUGAGGGAAAGGCGAAAAGAACCCCGGCGAGGGGAGUGAAAAAGAACCUGAAACCGUGUACGUACAAGCAGUGGGAGCACAGGUUUACCUGUGUGACUGCGUACCUUUUGUAUAAUGGGUCAGCGACUUAUAUUCUGUAGCAAGGUUAACCGAAUAGGGGAGCCGCAGGGAAACCGAGUCUUAAUUGGGCGUUAAGUUGCAGGGUAUAGACCCGAAACCCGGUGAUCUAGCCAUGGGCAGGUUGAAGGUUGGGUAACACUAACUGGAGGACCGAACCGACUAAUGUUGAAAAAUUAGCGGAUGACCUGUGGCUGGGGGUGAAAGGCCAAUCAAACCGGGAGAUAGCUGGUUCUCCCCGAAAGCUAUUUAGGUAGCGCCUCGUGAAUUCAUCUCCGGGGGUAGAGCACUGUUUCGGCUAGGGGGCCAUCCCGGCUUACCAACCCGAUGCAAACUGCGAAUACCGGAGAAUGUUAUCACGGGAGACACACGGCGGGUGCUAACGUCCGUCGUGAAGAGGGAAACAACCCAGACCGCCAGCUAAGGUCCCAAAGUCAUGGUUAAGUGGGAAACGAUGUGGGAAGGCCCAGACAGCCAGGAUGUUGGCUUAGAAGCAGCCAUCAUUUAAAGAAAGCGUAAUAGCUCACUGGUCGAGUCGGCCUGCGCGGAAGAUGUAACGGGGCUAAACCAUGCACCGAAGCUGCGGCAGCGACGCUGAUGCGUUGUUGGGUAGGGGAGCGUUCUGUAAGCCUGUGAAGGUGUGUCGUGAGGCAUGCUGGAGGUAUCAGAAGUGCGAAUGCUGACAUAAGUAACGAUAAAGCGGGUGAAAAGCCCGCUCGCCGGAAGACCAAGGGUUCCUGUCCAACGUUAAUCGGGGCAGGGUGAGUCGACCCCUAAGGCGAGGCCGAAAGGCGUAGUCGAUGGGAAACGGGUUAAUAUUCCCGUACUUGGUGUUACUGCGAAGGGGGGACGGAGAAGGCUAUGUUGGCCGGGCGACGGUUGUCCCGGUUUAAGCGUGUAGGUGUGUGUUCCAGGUAAAUCCGGUUCACUUUAACACUGAGGCGUGAUGACGAGGCACUACGGUGCUGAAGCAACAAAUGCCCUGCUUCCAGGAAAAGCCUCUAAGCAUCAGGUAACAUCAAAUCGUACCCCAAACCGACACAGGUGGUCAGGUAGAGAAUACCAAGGCGCUUGAGAGAACUCGGGUGAAGGAACUAGGCAAAAUGGUGCCGUAACUUCGGGAGAAGGCACGCUGACACGUAGGUGAAGUGAUUUACUCACGGAGCUGAAGUCAGUCGAAGAUACCAGCUGGCUGCAACUGUUUAUUAAAAACACAGCACUGUGCAAACACGAAAGUGGACGUAUACGGUGUGACGCCUGCCCGGUGCCGGAAGGUUAAUUGAUGGGGUCAGCGCAAGCGAAGCUCCUGAUCGAAGCCCCGGUAAACGGCGGCCGUAACUAUAACGGUCCUAAGGUAGCGAAAUUCCUUGUCGGGUAAGUUCCGACCUGCACGAAUGGCGUAAUGAUGGCCAGGCUGUCUCCACCCGAGACUCAGUGAAAUUGAACUCGCUGUGAAGAUGCAGUGUACCCGCGGCAAGACGGAAAGACCCCGUGAACCUUUACUAUAGCUUGACACUGAACAUUGAGCCUUGAUGUGUAGGAUAGGUGGGAGGCUUUGAAGUGUGGACGCCAGUCUGCAUGGAGCCGACCUUGAAAUACCACCCUUUAAUGUUUGAUGUUCUAACGUGGACCCGUAAUCCGGGUUGCGGACAGUGUCUGGUGGGUAGUUUGACUGGGGCGGUCUCCUCCUAAAGAGUAACGGAGGAGCACGAAGGUUGGCUAAUCCUGGUCGGACAUCAGGAGGUUAGUGCAAUGGCAUAAGCCAGCUUGACUGCGAGCGUGACGGCGCGAGCAGGUGCGAAAGCAGGUCAUAGUGAUCCGGUGGUUCUGAAUGGAAGGGCCAUCGCUCAACGGAUAAAAGGUACUCCGGGGAUAACAGGCUGAUACCGCCCAAGAGUUCAUAUCGACGGCGGUGUUUGGCACCUCGAUGUCGGCUCAUCACAUCCUGGGGCUGAAGUAGGUCCCAAGGGUAUGGCUGUUCGCCAUUUAAAGUGGUACGCGAGCUGGGUUUAGAACGUCGUGAGACAGUUCGGUCCCUAUCUGCCGUGGGCGCUGGAGAACUGAGGGGGGCUGCUCCUAGUACGAGAGGACCGGAGUGGACGCAUCACUGGUGUU
rnacentral:rRNA from 1 species